GACGAACGCUGACGGCGUGCUUAACACAUGCAAGUCGAAGGGAGUGGCGAACGGGUGAGUAACACGUGAGUAAUCCGCCCUCUUCUUUGGGAUAAGCCUGGGAAACUGGGUCUAAUACUGGAUGGAUUGGGAUGGGCUCGCGGCUUAUUAGCCUGUUGGUGGGGUGAUGGCUUACCCAGGCUUGGACGGGUUGCCGGCCCGAGAGGGUGGUCGGUCACACUGGGACUGAGAGACGGCCCAGACUCCUACGGGGGGCAGAAUUGGGGGAUAGUGCACAAUGGUCGAAAGUCUGAUGCAGCGCCGUCGUGUGGGGGAUGGAGGCCUUCGGGUUGGAAACUCCUUUCGCCCGCGGAAUGGUAGUGGGUAAGGAAGCGCCGGCUAACUACGUGCCAGCAGCCGCGGUAAUAC
rnacentral:rRNA from 1 species